rnacentral:rRNA from 1 species
AGAGUUUGAUCCUGGCUCAGGAUAAACGCUGGCGGCGUGCAUAAAACAUGCAAGUCGAACGGACCACUUCGGUGGUCAGUGGCGGACGGCUGAGUAACACGUAAGUGACCUGCCCUCCAGUGGGGAAUAACUGCUCGAAAGAGUGGCUAAUACCGCAUAUGCUCACGGCUUCGUUUUCGUGAGGAAAGAAUUUCGCUGGGGGAUGGGCUUGCGGCCGAUUAGCUAGUUGGCGGGGUAAGGGCCCACCAAGGCGAUGAUCGGUAGCUGGUCUGAGAGGAUGAUCAGCCAGACUGGGACUGCGACACGGCCCAGACUCCUACGGGAGGCAGCAGUUAGGAAUUUUGCGCAAUGGACGAAAGUCUGACGCAGCAACGCCGCGUGGAGGACGAAGGCCCUCGGGUCGUAAACUCCUUUUCCAGGGGAAGAUGGUGACGGUACCCUGGGAAUAAGCCCCGGCUAACUACGUGCCAGCAGCCGCGGUAAUACGUAGGGGGCGAGCGUUGUCCGGAUUUAUUGGGCGUAAAGAGCGCGUAGGCGGCCAGUCAAGUCGUGCGUGAAAUACCCCGGCUCAACCGGGGGGAGUCGUGCGAUACUGGCGGGCUCGAGGCCGGUAGGGGGAAGUGGAAUUCCCGGUGUAGUGGUGGAAUGCGUAGAUAUCGGGAGGAACACCAGUGGCGAAGGCGGCUUCCUGGACCGGUCCUGACGCUGAGGCGCGAAAGCGUGGGGAGCGAACUGAAUUAGAUACUCAGGUAGUCCACGCCGUAAACGAUGGAUGCUAGGUGUCGGGGGUAUCGACCCCUCCGGUGCCGCAGCUAACGCAUUAAGCAUCCCGCCUGGGGAGUACGGCCGCAAGGCUAAAACUCAAAUGAAUUGACGG